rnacentral:rRNA from 1 species
ACCCGCACAAGCGGUGGAUGAUGUGGUUUAAUUCGAUGCAACGCGAAAACCUUACCCACCUUUGACAUGUACGGAAUCCUUUAGAGAUAGAGGAGUGCUCGAAAGAGAGCCGUAACACAGGUGCUGCAUGGCUGUCGUCAGCUCGUGUCGUGAGAUGUUGGGUUAAGUCCCGCAACGAGCGCAACCCUUGUCAUUAGUUGCUACAUUCAGUUGGGCACUCUAAUGAGACUGCCGGUGACAAACCGGAGGAAGGUGGGGAUGACGUCAAGUCCUCAUGGCCCUUAUAGGUGGGGCUACACACGUCAUACAAUGGAUGGUACAAAGGGUCGCCAACCCGCGAGGGGGAGCCAAUCUCAUAAAGCCAUUCGUAGUCCGGAUCGCAGUCUGCAACUCGACUGCGUGAAGUCGGAAUCGCUAGUAAUCGUGGAUCAGAAUGCCACGGUGAAUACGUUCCCGGGUCUU